rnacentral:rRNA from 1 species
AUUUGGAGAGGAUGUUUCUGGCAAGGCGCCGUCCGAGUUCCUUGGAACAGGACGCCAUAGAGGGUGAGAGCCCCGUACCGGCGGAUGCCUAGCCUUUGUGAAACUCCUUCGACGAGUCGAGUAGUUUGGGAAUGCUGCUCAAAAUGGGAGGUAAAUUUCUUCUAAAGCUAAAUAUUGGCCAGAGACCGAUAGCGCACAAGUAGAGUGAUCGAAAGAUGAAAAGCACUUUGAAAAGAGGGUUAAAAAGUACGUGAAAUUGUUGAAAGGGAAGCGCCUAUGACCAGACUUGCGGCCUACGGACCAUCCGGCGUUCUCGCCGGUGCACUCCGUGGGUUGCAGGCCAGCAUCGGUUUUCCUAGGGGGAUAAAGGCCGCAGGAACGUAGCUCUUUCGGGAGUGUUAUAGCCUGUGGUGUCAUGCCUCUGGGGAGACCGAGGACCGCGCUUCGGCAAGGAUGCUGGCGUAAUGGUCAUCGGCGACCCGUCUUGAAACACGGACCAAGGAGUCAAGCAUUGGAGCGAGUGUCUGGGUGCCAAACCCGCACGCGAAAUGAAAGUAAACGUAGGUGAGAGCUUCGGCGCAUCACCGACCGAUCCUGAUGUCUUCGGAUGGAUUUGAGUAAGAGCCCCACCGCUUGGACCCGAAAGAUGGUGAACUAUGCCUGUAUAGGGUGAAGCCAGAGGAAACUCUGGUGGAGG